ACACCUGCCGGAAGAGAGUGUCUCUCUUCCACAGCAUCGUGGCCAUCGGUCGCUCCUUCGAGGUCUUCUUCACCAGCACUACCCUCAGAAACUUCGCCUCAUGAUGCUUAACGCUGAUCCAUCUGAGAGCAUCAUGGUGUCAGUCUUCUACUCCAGCCGCAGCGUUUGGAUGUGUACGUUGACACCAAGCUGGUUGUCCCAACUAACUUCAAUGGAACCCGACAACCCGGACUACACCCUAAGAAGCCCAUUUAUGCAGAUCAAUACGUCCCCCAAUUGAACGCCACUGUGGGAACCAACUACUUCGACCGGGACUACAAGAUGAUAAAGGUCGUACUAAGAGGCACUAAGCCGGUGGAGAUCCGAACUUCCCCGCUUCUCUUCAUCUCCUUUGAGCUGCCCGCCAUGACUGAGGAUCAGUUCUUUGGCAAAACUGAUCCAGAACCUUGCUGCUU